AAUGGGUCAGCGACUUAUAUUCUGUAGCAAGGUUAACCGAAUAGGGGAGCCGAAGGGAAACCGAGUCUUAACUGGGCGUUAAGUUGCAGGGUAUAGACCCGAAACCCGGUGAUCUAGCCAUGGGCAGGUUGAAGGUUGGGUAACACUAACUGGAGGACCGAACCGACUAAUGUUGAAAAAUUAGCGGAUGACUUGUGGCUGGGGGUGAAAGGCCAAUCAAACCGGGAGAUAGCUGGUUCUCCCCGAAAGCUAUUUAGGUAGCGCCUCGUGAAUUCAUCUCCGGGGGUAGAGCACUGUUUCGGCAAGGGGGUCAUCCCGACUUACCAACCCGAUGCAAACUGCGAAUACCGGAGAAUGUUAUCACGGGAGACACACGGCGGGUGCUAACGUCCGUCGUGAAGAGGGAAACAACCCAGACCGCCAGCUAAGGUCCCAAAGUCAUGGUUAAGUGGGAAACGAUGUGGGAAGGCCCAGACAGCCAGGAUGUUGGCUUAGAAGCAGCCAUCAUUUAAAGAAAGCGUAAUAGCUCACUGGUCGAGUCGGCCUGCGCGGAAGAUGUAACGGGGCUAAACCAUGCACCGAAGCUGCGGCAGCGACGCUUAUGCGUUGUUGGGUAGGGGAGCGUUCUGUAAGCCUGUGAAGGUGUGCUGUGAGGCAUGCUGGAGGUAUCAGAAGUGCGAAUGCUGACAUAAGUAACGAUAAAGCGGGUGAAAAGCCCGCUCGCCGGAAGACCAAGGGUUCCUGUCCAACGUUAAUCGGGGCAGGGUGAGUCGACCCCUAAGGCGAGGCCGAAAGGCGUAGUCGAUGGGAAACAGGUUAAUAUUCCUGUACUUGGUGUUACUGCGAAGGGGGGACGGAGAAGGCUAUGUUGGCCGGGCGACGGUUGUCCCGGUUUAAGCGUGUAGGCUGGUUUUCCAGGCAAAUCCGGAAAAUCAAGGCUGAGGCGUGAUGACGAGGCACUACGGUGCUGAAGCAACAAAUGCCCUGCUUCCAGGAAAAGCCUCUAAGCAUCAGGUAACAUCAAAUCGUACCCCAAACCGACACAGGUGGUCAGGUAGAGAAUACCAAGGCGCUUGAGAGAACUCGGGUGAAGGAACUAGGCAAAAUGGUGCCGUAACUUCGGGAGAAGGCACGCUGAUAUGUAGGUGAGGUCCCUCGCGGAUGGAGCUGAAAUCAGUCGAAGAUACCAGCUGGCUGCAACUGUUUAUUAAAAACACAGCACUGUGCAAACACGAAAGUGGACGUAUACGGUGUGACGCCUGCCCGGUGCCGGAAGGUUAAUUGAUGGGGUUAGCGGUAACGCGAAGCUCUUGAUCGAAGCCCCGGUAAACGGCGGCCGUAACUAUAACGGUCCUAAGGUAGCGAAAUUCCUUGUCGGGUAAGUUCCGACCUGCACGAAUGGCGUAAUGAUGGCCAGGCUGUCUCCACCCGAGACUCAGUGAAAUUGAACUCGCUGUGAAGAUGCAGUGUACCCGCGGCAAGACGGAAAGACCCCGUGAACCUUUACUAUAGCUUGACACUGAACAUUGAGCCUUGAUGUGUAGGAUAGGUGGGAGGCUUUGAAGUGUGGACGCCAGUCUGCAUGGAGCCGACCUUGAAAUACCACCCUUUAAUGUUUGAUGUUCUAACGUUGACCCGUAAUCCGGGUUGCGGACAGUGUCUGGUGGGUAGUUUGACUGGGGCGGUCUCCUCCUAAAGAGUAACGGAGGAGCACGAAGGUUGGCUAAUCCUGGUCGGACAUCAGGAGGUUAGUGCAAUGGCAUAAGCCAGCUUGACUGCGAGCGUGACGGCGCGAGCAGGUGCGAAAGCAGGUCAUAGUGAUCCGGUGGUUCUGAAUGGAAGGGCCAUCGCUCAACGGAUAAAAGGUACUCCGGGGAUAACAGGCUGAUACCGCCCAAGAGUUCAUAUCGACGGCGGUGUUUGGCACCUCGAUGUCGGCUCAUCACAUCCUGGGGCUGAAGUAGGUCCCAAGGGUAUGGCUGUUCGCCAUUUAAAGUGGUACGCGAGCUGGGUUUAGAACGUCGUGAGACAGUUCGGUCCCUAUCUGCCGUGGGCGCUGGAGAACUGAGGGGGGCUGCUCCUAGUACGAGAGGACCGGAGUGGACGCAUCACUGGUGUUCGGGUUGUCAUGCCAAUGGCACUGCCCGGUAGCUAAAUGCGGAAGAGAUAAGUGCUGAAAGCAUCUAAGCACGAAACUUGCC
rnacentral:rRNA from 1 species